CACAUCCUCAGGGCCCUCAGGGCUCUAGUGGGCCCCUAACGAGGGACUUCCCACCUGGGUAGGAGGUGGGUUUUCCAAGCGACUGGAAGGAGCACAAGGCGACGAGCCGUGCGCUGAGUACAGGAAAAUGAGCAGCAAGAAGGGGGUGCCCAAAGCUGCAUCAGGGAAGUGGCAGCCAUUCCUCCCUGGAGCCCAGCCGAGAGCUGUUGCUGGGAAGCCGAGAGAGACCCGCCAGUCGCCGAGGAAGACCGGCCAGCCGGCCGAGCGCCCAGAGGCCCCCGCAGGUGAGAGCCUGCGCGCCCCGCGUCCGCUCUGCUCUCGGGGCCGGAGGGGAUGGGCAGGACUGCGGGCGGGCUGGCGGGAAGGGGCUGCCCCGGGCCGGGACACGCGUGGUGUGCGUGCGUGUGCGUGUGCGCGCGCGGGUGCGCGCGGAGCCGCGAGGCCCUCCCCGGGGCAGGUGGAGCUGAACCCCGGCCUUCUCUCCGACCGCAGCAGCUCCGUGCUUUCCCGGCGAGGGCUGGGCGGGGUUGGCCCGGUGCCGCCUCCCAGGGGCGCGGCCUGUCCGGGAGUCCCUCUCCCUCACGCCUUUAACGCGCGGUGGUCGUCCGCUGGGGACUGGACAGGGGCCACCACCUUCGU